AAUAUUGCGCAAUGGGGGGAACCCUGACGCAGCAACGCCGCGUGAAGGAUGAAGGUUUUCGGAUUGUAAACUUCUUUAGUCGGGGACGCACAAGAUGCCGGUACCCGAAGAAUAAGCCACGGCUAACUACGUGCCAGCAGCCGCGGUAAUACGUAGGUGGCAAGCGUUGUCCGGAAUUACUGGGUGUAAAGGGCGUGUAGGCGGGAAUGUAAGUCAGAUGUGAAAUUCCGGGGCUCAACCCCGGCGCUGCAUCUGAAACUAUGUUUCUUGAGUGCUGGAGAGGAAAGCGGAAUUCCUAGUGUAGCGGUGAAAUGCGUAGAUAUUAGGAGGAACACCAGUGGCGAAGGCGGCUUUCUGGACAGUAACUGACGCUGAGGCGCGAAAGCGUGGGGAGCAAACAGG
rnacentral:rRNA from 1 species